CUGGGAAAGUGAGCUGGAAAGGAGUUGCAUACUACAAUCGGUUAAUAAACUACUUGCUUAAAAGAGGCAUUACUCCUUAGCAGAUUUGUAUCACUAUGAUCUUCCACUCGCUCUUGAACAAAAAUACCUUGGAUUGGGAUUGUUAAGUGACCAAGUGGUGUGGAAUUUUGCUUCAACAAGCCUAGAGUGGUGGCUGCUCUUGGCUAUGACAAUGGACUAAAAUCCUCCAGCACGGUGCUCCAAAGCUUAUGGAAAUUGCACAGCUGGGAAUUCUGGAACUGAGCCCUACAUUGCUCCACAUCAUUUAAUUUCGUCACACGCAGCUGCUGUUAAAAUAUACCGCAACAAGUUUCAAGUGAGGGAAAAUGGAUUCACGAUUCAUAAGAAAAUGCAUUAUUGAUUAGCUGAUGCUGAAGUAUGUGGAUAUUUCAGAAAACACAGAAAAGGGAAAAUAGGUAUUCUCUUGGAUUUUAACCGGUAUGAGCCACUUCCCAGAUCAAAGGCUGACAUGUAUGCAGAGCAUUUUGAUGCAAUUUAGACAUUACAGAAUUUACAAUUGUAUGUUGGAUUGGCUUUUCAACAUGUUCAUUCAUCCGAUUGUAUAUAUGGAGUAUCUGAAAAAAAUCCAAAAUAUUGUGGGCAAUAGGCUACCAAAGUUUACGAAAGAGGAGGUUAAGACGGUGAAAUGCUCAAUGGAUUAUGUAGGCAUCAACCUGUACUCAGUUUAUUACAUAUAUCUAAUUGAUACAGAAAAAAUAAGAUAUGCUUUUUGAGUCGGUUCAGUUGCAAUUUUAUCUUGCUUUAAUUGUUG